rfam:Ralstonia eutropha JMP134 chromosome 1, complete sequence.
GCCGGCUUAGCUCAUCAGGUAGAGCAGUUGAUUUGUAAUCAUCAGGUGGCGGGUUCGAGUCCUGCAGCCGGCA